CAUGCAAGUCGAGCGGUAACAGAUCCAGCUUGCUAGAUGCUGACGAGCGGCGGACGGGUGAGUAAUGCAUAGGAAUCUGCCCGAUAGUGGGGGAUAACCUGGGGAAACCCAGGCUAAUACCGCAUACGUCCUACGGGAGAAAGGGGGCUCCGGCUCCCGCUAUGGGAUGAGCCUAUGUCGGAUUAGCUAGUUGGUGAGGUAACGGCUCACCAAGGCCACGAUCCGUAGCUGGUCUGAGAGGAUGAUCAGCCACAUCGGGACUGAGACACGGCCCGAACUCCUACGGGAGGCAGCAGUGGGGAAUAUUGGACAAUGGGGGAAACCCUGAUCCAGCCAUGCCGCGUGUGUGAAGAAGGCCCUCGGGUUGUAAAGCACUUUCAGCGAGGAAGAACGCCUAGCGGUUAAUACCCGCUAGGAAAGACAUCACUCGCAGAAGAAGCACCGGCUAACUCCGUGCCAGCAGCCGCGGUAAUACGGAGGGUGCGAGCGUUAAUCGGAAUUACUGGGCGUAAAGCGCGCGUAGGUGGCUUGAUAAGCCGGUUGUGAAAGCCCCGGGCUCAACCUGGGAACGGCAUCCGGAACUGUCAAGCUAGAGUGCAGGAGAGGAAGGUAGAAUUCCCGGUGUAGCGGUGAAAUGCGUAGAGAUCGGGAGGAAUACCAGUGGCGAAGGCGGCCUUCUGGACUGACACUGACACUGAGGUGCGAAAGCGUGGGUAGCAAACAGGAUUAGAUACCCUGGUAGUCCACGCCGUAAACGAUGUCGACCAGCCGUUGGGUGCCUAGCGCACUUUGUGGCGAAGUUAACGCGAUAAGUCGACCGCCUGGGGAGUACGGCCGCAAGGUUAAAACUCAAAUGAAUUGACGGGGGCCCGCACAAGCGGUGGAGCAUGUGGUUUAAUUCGAUGCAACGCGAAGAACCUUACCUACUCUUGACAUCCUGCGAAUUUGGUAGAGAUACCUUAGUGCCUUCGGGAACGCAGAGA
rnacentral:rRNA from 1 species